UACGUAGGGUGCGAGCGUUGUCCGGAAUUACUGGGCGUAAAGAGCUCGUAGGUGGUUUGUCGCGUUGUCCGUGAAAACUCACAGCUUAACUGUGGGCGUGCGGGCGAUACGGGCAGACUGGAGUACUGCAGGGGAGACCGGAAUUCCUGGUGUAGCGGUGGAAUGCGCAGAUAUCAGGAGGAACACCGGUGGCGAAGGCGGGUCUCUGGGCAGUAACUGACGCUGAGGAGCGAAAGCGUGGGGAGCGAACAGG
rnacentral:rRNA from 1 species